CUUGAACUCUGGCGUCAGGCUUAACACAUGCAAGUCGAGCGACCGGCGGACGGGUGAGUAAUUUCUGGGAAACUGCCUGAUGGAGGGGGAUCACUACUGGAAACGGUAGCUAAUACCGCAUACCAUCAGAUGUGUCCAGAUGGGAUUAGCUAGUAGGUGGGGUAAUGGCUCACCUAGGCGACGAUCCCUAGCUGGUAUGAGAGGAUGACCAGCGACAAUGGACAUGAGACACGGUCCAGGCUCCUACGUGAGGCAGCAGUGGGGAAUAUUGCACAAGGGGCGGAAGAGUGAUGCAGCCAUGCCGCGUGUGUGAAGAAGGCCUUCGGGUUGUAAAGCACUUUCAGCGAGGAGGCGUUACUCGCAGAAGAAGCACCGGCUAACUCCGUGCCAGCAGCCGCGGUAAUA
rnacentral:rRNA from 1 species